CCUCUCUAGGAAAUGAAGCCAGAAUCCACAGAUGUCAUUAUCCAUCUACAUACAUCUGUUUACUACCCAGAAGGCAAGGAUAUUGCAUUUUAAAAGGGUCUGGACUUUUGUUCUUAUCACAAAUGACUUGAGUGGCUCUGACCAUUCACGUUUACCCGGAGUGAAAGUGUCAGUGAAAGCUUUGCUUCCUGGAGAGCUUUGAGAUUCUGGUACAAAAGGCAUUUUAUAAGCACAAAGUGGAAAAGCAUCAUUUAUAUUCAUUUGCUGCUGUGGCAUUUCUCUCUGGAAUCUUCCUCUUGUCUGUCAACAUUGUACAAAAAGACUGGCCUCAUCUACAUUACAAAUAUCAUUCUUUUAAUGGUCUGCAAGUAGGAAAGAGACAGCAUAAGAAGGGAGGGGGCGGAGAAACUUGAGGUCUCCUGUUGGAAGAUCUAGGCUUGUUUAUCCCUAAAACUGGGUGCACAUCA
rnacentral:lncRNA from 1 species